rnacentral:rRNA from 1 species
UACGGGGGGGGCAAGCGUUGUUCGGAAUUACUGGGCGUAAAGGGCUCGUAGGCGGCCAACUAAGUCAGACGUGAAAUCCCUCAGCUUAACUGGGGAACUGCGUCUGAUACUGGAUGGCUUGGAUUUGGGAGAGGGAUGCGGAAUUCCAGGUGUAGCGGUGAAAUGCGUAGAUAUCUGGAGGAACACCGGUGGCGAAGGCGGCAUCCUGGACCAAUAUUGACGCUGAGGAGCGAAAGCCAGGGGAGCCAAAGCGGG